AGUCGACGAUGAAGCCCUUCGGGGUGGAUUAGUGGCGAACGGGUGAGUAACACGUGGGUAAUCUGCCCUGCACUCUGGGACAAGCCUUGGAAACGAGGUCUAAUACCGGAUAGGACACAUGAAGGCAUCUUCUGUGUGUGGAAAGCUUCGGCGGUGCAGGAUGGGCCCGCGGCCUAUCAGCUUGUUGGUGGGGUAGUGGCCUACCAAGGCGACGACGGGUAGCCGGCCUGAGAGGGCGACCGGCCACACUGGGACUGAGACACGGCCCAGACUCCUACGGGAGGCAGCAGUGGGGAAUAUUGCACAAUGGGCGGAAGCCUGAUGCAGCGACGCCGCGUGAGGGAUGACGGCCUUCGGGUUGUAAACCUCUUUCAGCAGGGAAGAAGCUUUCGGGUGACGGUACCUGCAGAAGAAGCACCGGCUAACUACGUGCCAGCAGCCGCGGUAAUACGUAGGGUGCGAGCGUUGUCCGGAAUUAUUGGGCGUAAAGAGCUCGUAGGCGGCUUGUCACGUCGGUUGUGAAAGCCCGGGGCUUAACCCCGGGUCUGCAGUCGAUACGGGCAGGCUAGAGUUCGGUAGGGGAGAUCGGAAUUCCUGGUGUAGCGGUGAAAUGCGCAGAUAUCAGGAGGAACACCGGUGGCGAAGGCGGAUCUCUGGGCCGAUACUGACGCUGAGGAGCGAAAGCGUGGGGAGCGAACAGGAUUAGAUACCCUGGUAGUCCACGCCGUAAACGGUGGGAACUAGGUGUGGGCGACAUUCCACGUUGUCCGUGCCGCAGCUAACGCAUUAAGUUCCCCGCCUGGGGAGUACGGCCGCAAGGCUAAAACUCAAGGAAUUUGACGGGGGCCCGCACAAGCGGCGGAGCAUGUGGCUUAAUUCGACGCAACGCGAGAACCUUACCAAGGCUUGACAUACACCGGGU
rnacentral:rRNA from 1 species